GUUGCGGUUAAAAAGCUCGUAGUUGGAUUUCUGUACGAGAGCACCGGUCCGCAUUUUGUGCGUGUAUCUGGUAGAACUUGUGCAUCCUCUUAUUUUCAAAUCUGCGCUUCAUUGCGUGGUUUUGUGGAUAAGACUUUUACUUUGAGGAAAUUAGAGUGUUCACGGCAGGCAAGCGCCCUGAAUAUGUUAGCAUGGAAUAAUGAUAUAAGACUUCGGUUUUAUUUUGUUGGUUUCUAAAGCUGAAGUAAUGAUUAAUAGGAACAGUUGGGGACACUUGUAUUAACUCGCUAGAGGUGGAAUUCUUGGAUUGAGUUACGACAAACUACUGCGAAAGCAUUUGUCAAGGAUGUUUUCAUUGAUCAAGAACGAAAGUGAGGGGAUCGAAGACGAUUAGAUACCGUCGUAGUCUUCACCAUAAACUAUGCCGACUAGGGAUAGGGCGUCGUUCUUUCUAUGACUCGCUCUGCACCUUAUGAGAAAUCAAAGUUUUUGGGUUCCGGGGGGAGUAUGGUCGCAAGUCUGAAACUUAAAGGAAUUGACGGAAGGGCACCACCAGGAGUGGAGCCUGCGGCUUAAUUUGACUCAACA
rnacentral:rRNA from 1 species